rnacentral:rRNA from 1 species
UGGGGAAUAUUGCGCAAUGGGCGAAAGCCUGACGCAGCAACGCCGUGUGAGUGAUGAAGGCCCUCGGGUCGUAAAGCUCUGUCAGCAGGGAAGAUGGGAGAUGAGUUUAAUAAAUUCAUUUUUUGACGGUACCUGCAAAGGAAGCACCGGCUAACUCUGUGCCAGCAGCCGCGGUAAUACAGAGGGUGCAAGCGUUGUUCGGAAUUAUUGGGCGUAAAGCGCGCGUAGGCGGCUACAUAAGUCUGACGUGAAAGCCCGGGGCUCAACCCCGGAAGUGCAUCGGAAACUGUGUAGCUAGAGUCCCGGAGAGGAUGGUGGAAUUCCAGGUGUAGAGGUGAAAUUCGUAGAUAUCUGGAGGAACAUCAGUGGCGAAGGCGGCCAUCUGGACGGUGACUGACGCUGAGGUGCGAAAGCGUGGGGAGCGAACAGG